UUUGGUUUGUUACGGGUGGUUGGCUCUUUGCUUGCGCAACAACUUCCACCUGACUUACCUCUUCAGUUGUCUGUUUAGGUGUGUAUUGCCUAAGUGGAUUGUGGGUUUCCUGUGCUGCCUACCUAAGCCAUGGUAUUGUGUCGGUUGACUGAUGUAGCUUUCGUCUUGUGUCAUUGACAUGACAUCUGAUGAACCUUGAAGCUGUCUCUUUGCACCACAUCAUUAAUGCUUGCGUUGAUGUUGUGGCCCAUUGAGCGUUGCUUGUUAUCCUGGAUACGGAACCUGAUGUGGGUAUGGGGUCCUCUCGGAUCCUUGUUUGCCCUCAUUUAGCAUUAGCUCUUCUCUUACAAUGACUGCCUAGCCCGAAUUGGCUCGUACCACCGGGUGGGUAUUGUCAAAGAGGAUUGCUAGCUUCUCUUAAAAUGACUGCCUAGCCCGAAUUGGCUCGUACCACCGGGUGGGUAUUGUCAAAGAGGAAUGC
rnacentral:misc_RNA from 1 species